GACUGGUAGACGCCGGAUUUAUUCCGGAUGAACCUUCCCGUGCUUUUUAGAACAAGAUUGGCCAGUCAGGCCGAUCGAAACACAUACGCUGUGAGAUGUGCCUUCGGGUACACCGCAGUAUGGCGGAUUACCGCCGUCCACGUUUCUCUUUCUCGAUUAGGAUAUGUCCUCACGGCGGUGCCGCGAUCUUUGAUCGCUCGCCUCCGGACGGGGCGCCGGACGACCGGCGUGGGGCUUUGCCCCUGUUUGGCGGUCUGAUCGGACUUUAGGAUCGGCGCUUUACCCAAUUGGGCCCGUAGCUCAGUCGGUUAGAGCACACGCUUGAUAAGCGUGGGGUCGGUAGUUCGAGUCUACCCGGGCCCACCAUAUUUUACUGCGGUCUCUGAUCGAAAGCCGGCAAGGCUUUCGCAAGGCCAAGGGCUGCCGGCGCUGGUGCGCCGCCCCUGUGGAGCGCUUUGCGCGUGAACGCAUAAAAAUUGGGGCUGUAGCUCAGCUGGGAGAGCACCUGCUUUGCAAGCAGGGGGUCAGCGGUUCGAUCCCGCUCAGCUCCACCAAAUAUUUUGUGCUGACGCUGUCGCGAUCGUCGAUCGCUGCGCUCCGCACGCGCCGCCGCAUAGCCGGCGUGGUCCUCUGGACCUGUUUGGUGGAAGACGGAAUAUCCUUUGAGAGAAAUAAAAGUUUGCACCGGCUUUCGAGCCUGGUGCCUGUUCUGAUUACAUUGUGAAGAGAAGAUAUGUCUGGAAGCUUCCAGGUGUUGAGGAUGGUGACCGCAAGGUUGCUGUUUUUGACGUCCGAGCCCAGUCCUGUUCAAGCUGCGUGAGGGUCUAGCCGAUCCGAAGCAGACCAGGGGCUGGAGGUAGGAAGGGAGCUUGUUACUCAAGACAUGUGUGUUGUUGAUGGUUUGAGCCAUUGAAACUUCGGAUCCGCAAGGAUUUGGAGAUUUUGGUGUUUCCGGUCAUCUCUGACGGCAUGUCGAUGGGCGUUGCCUGACCGCGCGCUCCCGGACAGAUCUCGAGAAGCUGGUCUUAAGACCUGGCCCUGAAGUGCACCGGCGUGCCUUCGUAUAGGGAUCAGGUCGAACACGUCGAUGGCAUCAUUCAAAGGAUGGGUUGUAAAAGGUAACCCGUUCGUUUGUUCGUCCUUUAUCGUUAGGGACGCGCAGCCCAUCAGCGGCAAUCGCAAGGUUGUCCGGAUGGCCGGAUUUGGCACCCCUCAAGCGUAUGCGAAGAGGAGAAGGUUUGCCAAAUCAAACAGAUGAUGAGCAUUGGCAAUGAGAACGAUCAAGUGAAAGAAGGGCAUUUGGUGGAUGCCUUGGCAUGCACAGGCGAUGAAGGACGUGAUACGCUGCGAUAAGCCGUGGGGAGCUGCGA
rnacentral:misc_RNA from 1 species